UACAGAGGGGCAAGCGUUGUUCGGAAUUACUGGGCGUAAAGGGCGCGUAGGCGGCCUUCUAAGUCGAACGUGAAAUCCCCGGGCUCAACCCGGGAACUGCGUCCGAUACUGGAAGGCUUGAAUCCGGGAGAGGGAUGUGGAAUUCCAGGUGUAGCGGUGAAAUGCGUAGAUAAUCUGGAGGAACACCGGUGGGACGAAGGCGGUU
rnacentral:rRNA from 1 species